GAAAGGAAAGAAAGAAUAAUAGGUAAGAAAUGGGGAUGGGGUGCACAAGAGCUAUGAAGGGGAAGAGAGACUAAUAUGUGGGAAAUGAGGGUGGGGUGGACAGAGAGAGGAAGGGGGUGUACAUGUUGAGAACACUGAAGAUAUAGACUUGAGAAAGGAUACUUUUAUACUUGAACCUUAAGGUACAGGAUGGCCAUUUGGGAUUUAUGGUCAAAAAGAGCUUCAAAAUACCACCAGUUAACAAAGAAGUGGGAGAGAAUUGCACCUUCAGGAAUCAUCCUUGGGGUCUGGGUCAGGGCUGGUCUCAUGGAAGGGUGGUCUGGGAGAAUGCCUGACCUGUUUUGAGGGGGGGCUCAGGAAAAUCCCCUAAAAACUUCUGAUCUUGCCCCACCCACUGGCUAACCCAGUGGGUUGAAAUGCCACUGUUAGAUCAUGGACAAGUCCCUAGGAGGGAGGGAUCCAUGUCUUAAGAGGGUUUAUAUAUUCCUGGGCUGGGUCGAGAGGAAGAGAGCACAAAUUCAUAAUGAAUGUGAGGAAACUAGGAAUAAAAUCCAGAAGUCAAAAUUCACAUUUUCCAGUCCAUUUUUCCCAGCCCAGGCUCAGUAAACUAAGCAAUGAGGAUGACGUGGAGGAAGUCAGGGGCCAGGCACCCAAAGGUGGGUGUCUUUCGUCCUGUCUCCUGACCAAGGGUACAUGCUGUCAGCUAGAAGUUACUGCCUUCUCUACUGAUACAUAUGCACACUCCUCCCUUUGGCCUGAAAUGCUCUUUCCUCCCCCACCAAACCUGAUAGUACCUACACAUCUUCUAGAACCAAACCCAAGUGGCUUCUGCCAUCUCCUCCAGGCACCAGGUCUCCUCACACCACUUCAGCCUGUCCCAAAUCACAUUUAAUUCUUUGUACCUAUGCUUGUCUCUCCUUUGAAAACUCUGCAUGCCUCUGAGAGCUGAGGACCACCGAAUGACUACCGAAUGGACACACACAUACACAGAUCAUUAUUAUUUUUAUGUGAAACUGUGGUGGGGACCCUUUCAGGUAAGUGGGGCUGACACUGUGUACAGGUCUUGGAAUUUGAAAGCACACGUGCACAAAACCAUUCCCGAGUCUGCCAUGCCUUCUGUCUGGGGACCUCCCAUGGACAGAAGUGGGCCCCAGCCUCAGGCCAAACCCAGCUUUGCGAAGGGGUCCCACCCAUGUGUAAGCAGCUUCUUACUGUUUUCUCCAGGGAAGGCUCCCUGUGCGCUGGAUGGCGAUCGAGUCACUAAAUUACAGCGUGUAUACAACCAACAGCGACGUAUGGUCCUAUGGAGUAUUACUGUGGGAGAUUGUUAGCUUAGGUGAGUACCCAUGUUUACCUGCCAGGUUAGGCUCUAGGCAAAGGGGGUGGGCUGCUCCUGUGCUCCUUCACUGUAUACGUCCAUUUGUACUCAGUGUCACCAGAUGUCACUGGGAAGAAGAACCUUAGGGGUUUCCAUGUAUGAGUGUAUUUAUC
rnacentral:lncRNA from 1 species